GGCCCUCCCAAUCCUUUAUCUGCUUCUGGGAUCCCCAAAGACUGGGAACCUUUCUCAGCAUCUUUCCUGUGGAAAGACCAUCUGCUCCAUUUGCUGUUGCAACACGAAAAGCCACUCUGAAGCUCAAUGGGGAAUUUCAAUGAGUUUAUUUUAUCUCAUGUGACCCACAUAGGCUCAGACUUAUAGGUGCUCUGCAAAUGCUAAUUGGUGAUGACCAGGAUAAUAAUUGUGACAAAUGCUCCCAUGAAACUGAUGAGUCAUUUAGUGGAAGAGGCGGAGUACAGCAGUUAUGUAAUGUUACUUCACCAAACAGGUGACAGAUCUGGGACUAGACACCAUGACUUCUGACUCAACCCAGAGCUCCUUCCAAUGUGUGAUGCUGAGAAUGAGAAUCACAGAGAAUGAAACAACAUCUUAGUCCAUAAGAACAUCAGCUACACCAGCAAAGUGGUAGCCUCAGGUGCUUCCCUUCCAAUCGCCAUUUCUUGUUGAACAGUUCUAAGCCCAAACCAAAUAUAGUCACUUCCUUGCUGUGUUCAAGUCUUUACCUGAGGUGUGAAAUAAAUUCUGCCUAUUCCAGUGUGUUCUCAAGGCAGCAGCAUGAUUACAUCUUUAGGAAAUCCUAAUGGUAAUUCUUCUACUUUCCCAUCACAGCAUUGCCUGCACCUCUAUUAUAGAUUUGAUGGACAGAUGUGACUUAGUAAAUACUGCCAUCUGGCCACUCUACUGAGAUCCUAUGGGCCCCAAUCACUUUUUCUGUCAUUAUUAUCUACUCUAAAACAACAUAAAAAAGAUGAAAGUCCAAGUCACACAGCUUUUCUCUUGCUACUGUGUGGUUCAUUCACUGAAAGAGCAUUGGGUUUUACAGAAAGUUGUUUAUCAUGAAUGGUACACAGUGGAGCAAUAAAUUCCUUUUGAAUGAGGAGCAUCAGAGAAGAGAUAAAGUAUCUAGAACUAAGCACCUUGGCAAUUUAAAUUAAAUCUGUAUUUGGCCAACUAAGAAAAUUUAAA